rnacentral:rRNA from 1 species
CGGCGAGUGAGCGGCAACAGCUCAAAUUUGAAAUCUGGCCCCUAGGGCCCGAGUUGUAAUUUGCAGAGGAUGCUUUUGGCGAGGUGCCUUCCGAGUUCCCUGGAACGGGACGCCAUAGAGGGUGAGAGCCCCGUCUGGUUGGAUGCCGAGCCUCUGUAAAGCUCCUUCGACGAGUCGAGUAGUUUGGGAAUGCUGCUCUAAAUGGGAGGUAUAUGUCUUCUAAAGCUAAAUACCGGCCAGAGACCGAUAGCGCACAAGUAGAGUGAUCGAAAGAUGAAAAGCACUUUGAAAAGAGGGUUAAAUAGUACGUGAAAUUGUUGAAAGGGAAGCACUUAUGACCAGACUUGGGCCCGGUGAAUCAUCCAGCGUUCUCGCUGGUGCACUUUGCCGGGCUCAGGCCAGCAUCAGUUUGCCCCGGGGGAUAAAGGCUUUGGGAAUGUGGCUCCCUCGGGAGUGUUAUAGCCCAUUGCACAAUACCCUGGGGCGGACUGAGGUUCGCGCAUCUGCAAGGAUGCUGGCGUAAUGGUCAUCAGUGACCCGUCUUGAAACACGGACCAAGGAGUCGUCUUCGUAUGCGAGUGUUCGGGUGUAAAACCCCUACGCGUAAUGAAAGUGAACGCAGGUGAGAGCUUCGGCGCAUCAUCGACCGAUCCUGAUGUUCUCGGAUGGAUUUGAGUAAGAGCAUACGGGGCCGGACCCGAAAGAAGGUGAACUAUGCCUGUAUAGGGUGAAGCCAGAGGAAACUCUGGUGGAGGCUCGCAGCGGUUCUGACGUGCAAUCGAUCGUCAAAUAUGG